UACGUAGGGGGCAAGCGUUGUCCGGAUUUAUUGGGCGUAAAGAGCGUGUAGGCGGCUAGAUAGGUCCGUUGUGAAAACUCGAGGCUCAACCCCGAGACGUCGAUGGAAACCAUCUGGCUAGAGUCCGGAAGAGGAGAGUGGAAUUCCUGGUGUAGCGGUGAAAUGCUUAGAGAUCGUCCAGAACACCGAUAGCGAAGGCAGCUUACUAAGGAGUAACUGACGCUGAGGCACGAAAGUGUGGGGAUCAAACAGG
rnacentral:rRNA from 1 species